UUUCCGUAGGUGAACCUGCGGAAGGAUCAUUAUCGUACAAAAUGUGAGGGGCAUUCUAGGGCUGUCGCUGACCCUAAAGUCGUGCUCGCCCGAGCGUUUCCUCUUGCAUAAUAAUCCAUCCCACCCUUUGCACAUCACUCUGUGGGCACCCAUUGUUAUGAUCUCGGAGGUGGGCUCGCGUUUUCACACAACCCACCCUUUUAAACUCGUAGAAUGACCACACGCAUGAAAUCAAUACAGCUCUCAACAACGGACCACUUGGCUCUCGCAUCGAUGAAA
rnacentral:misc_RNA from 1 species